rnacentral:rRNA from 1 species
CCUACGGGUGGCAGCAGUCGAGAAUCAUUCACAAUGGGGGAAACCCUGAUGGUGCGACGCCGCGUGUGGGAAUGCAGGUCUUCGGAUUGUAAACCCCUGUCAUGUGGGAGCAAAUUAAAAAGAUAGUACCACAAGAGGAAGAGACGGCUAACUCUGUGCCAGUAGCCGCGGUAAUACAGAGGUCUCAAGCGUUAUUCGGAAUGACUGGGCGUAAAGCGUGCGUAGGCGGUAGGUCAAGUCAGGGGUGAAAUCCCGGCGGUCAACGUGGGAACUGCCUUUGAUACUGGUAAACUGGAGUGUGUGAGAGGUAAGCGGAAUGUCAGGUGUAGGAGUGAAAUGCGUAGAGAUCAGGAGGAACAUCAGGGGCGAAGGCGACUUUCUGGCACAUAACUGACGCUGAGGAGCGAAAGCGUGGGGAGCAAACAGGAUUAGAUACCCCAGUAGUC